rnacentral:misc_RNA from 1 species
AAGGAUGUGCAUUUUGAAUUAUACGAUACUCGGGAUCCAGACGAAUCCAAAGUGAAGCAUUAUAAGAACACUGUCCAUCCCCUUGGCACCGUGCCAGCUUUGAAGAUUGAAGGGAGAGAACCUUUGAUAGAAUCAGGGGCCAUUUGUAUGUAUUUGGCGGAGCUAUACCAGAAACUUCUACCAAAAAAAGACAACAUAGCAGACUAUUUCAAUGUCAUUUUCUUCUGCUGUGUCACCUUAGAUGAGAUCCUAGAACAGUUGUUUGUCCAAUGGAUGUUUGUGGAGCUCGAAAACAGGGACAACGACCUAAUCAAAAAUAUGGCGGCCAAGUUUAACGUUGCCAUCAGCCACGUUGAGACGAUUCUGUGCGACAGAAAGUUUAUUUGUGGAGACGAAUUCACGGCAGCAGAUUGUGUUCUGGGAUACAACGUUUGGUGGGCCAACGUAAUGCAAGGGGGACAACUUCUCAAAAACCACCCGGUCGCUCGAUCGUAUCUGGAAAGACUGGGCGAACGAGAUGCUUUUAAAAAGACAUUUUCUUGAAUAUGCUUUAUAUUUUGUUUUACAUAUUUUUUUAUCGACAUAGUUAGAUCUACCACUCUUAAUAUUAGAUCUUGUGAGUUU